CUGUUCUUAAGAACAGUUCCUCCUUCAUGGAUCACUGCCUUGUCGUGGCGAAGGGGCUUGCAUAGCUCCAUGAAGGUAUGACCUAUGCUGUGCAGGUCCACCCAAAACGGACAGGACAUAGCAGAGAGCUCUGACAAAACGUGAUCCACUGGAGAAGGAAAUGGCAACCCACUCCAGUAUCUUUGCCAUGAAAACCCCAUGGACAGUACCAAAAGGCAAAAAGAUA